rnacentral:rRNA from 1 species
UGGGGAAUUUUGGACAAUGGGGGCAACCCUGAUCCAGCCAUCCCGCGUGUGCGAUGAAGGCCUUCGGGUUGUAAAGCACUUUUGGCAGGGAAGAAACAGCCUGGGCUAAUAUCCCGGGCGACUGACGGUACCUGCAGAAUAAGCACCGGCUAACUACGUGCCAGCAGCCGCGGUAAUACGUAGGGUGCAAGCGUUACUCGGAAUUACUGGGCGUAAAGCGUGCGCAGGCGGUUCGGAAAGAAAGGUGUGAAAUCCCAGGGCUUAACCUUGGAACUGCACUUUUAACUACCGGGCUAGAGUACGUCAGAGGGGGGUAGAAUUCCACGUGUAGCAGUGAAAUGCGUAGAGAUGUGGAGGAAUACCGAUGGCGAAGGCAGCCCCCUGGGAUGAUACUGACGCUCAUGCACGAAAGCGUGGGGAGCAAACA